AGACGUCUACAUUAGAUACCCGCGUAGUCCCAGCCGUAAACUAUGCGCGUUAGGUGUAUCGGUGACCACGAGUCACCGAGGUGCCGAAGGGAAACCGUGAAACGUGCCGCCUGGGAAGUACGGUCGCAAGGCUGAAACUUAAAGGAGUUGGCGGGGAGCACCACAACGGGUGGAGCCUGCGGUUUAAUUGGACUCAACGCCGGGAAGCUCACCGGAUAAGACAGCGGAAUGAUUGCCGGGCUGAAGACUCUGCAUGACUAGCUG
rnacentral:rRNA from 1 species